rnacentral:rRNA from 1 species
AACGAACGCUGGCGGCAUGCCUAACACAUGCAAGUCGAACGAGACCUUCGGGUCUAGUGGCGCACGGGUGCGUAACGCGUGGGAACCUGCCCUUAGGUUCGGAAUAACUCCCCGAAAGGGGUGCUAAUACCGGAUAAUGUCUUCGGACCAAAGAUUUAUCGCCUUUGGAUGGGCCCGCGUUGGAUUAGCUAGUUGGUAGGGUAAAAGCCUACCAAGGCGACGAUCCAUAGCUGGUCUGAGAGGAUGAUCAGCCACACUGGGACUGAGACACGGCCCAGACUCCUACGGGAGGCAGCAGUGGGGAAUAUUGGACGAUGGGCGAAAGCCUGAUACAGCAAUGCCGCGUGAGUGAUGAAGGCCUUAGGGUUGUAAAGCUCUUUUACCCGGGAUGAUAAUGACAGUACCGGGAGAAUAAGCACCGGCUAACUCCGUG